rnacentral:rRNA from 1 species
GACGAACGCUGGCGGCGUGCUUAACACAUGCAAGUCGAACGGUGAUGGGGAGCUUGCUCUCCGGAUCAGUGGCGAACGGGUGAGUAACACGUGAGUAACCUGCCCUCGACUCUGGGAUAAGCGUUGGAAACGACGUCUAAUACCGGAUACGACCUCGGAUGGCAUCUUCCGGGGUGGAAAGAGUUUCGGUCGAGGAUGGACCCGCGGCCUAUCAGCUUGUUGGUGAGGUAGUGGCCACCAAGGCGACGACGGGUAGCCGGCCUGAGAGGGUGACCGGCCACACUGGGACUGAGACACGGCCCAGACUCCUACGGGAGGCAGCAGUGGGGAAUAUUGCACAAUGGGCGCAAGCCUGAUGCAGCAACGCCGCGUGAGGGACGACGGCCUGGUGUAAC